CUGUAACACCCUCGAUGCGACUAUAUCUCCCACGUGUCGAGGCACGACUUAGAGGCAUAAUCGCAUUGAAGGCAUAUGUCGCAAGUGAGGUAAUCUUCACACAACCCAUAUAAUAUAAUAGGGGAAAAAGGUACAUAGUUGGCUUACAAUCGCCACUUCACACAAUUACAUGAAUAAACAUUACAUCAUACAAUUACACUCAAGGUCCAACUACGGAACCAAAAUAAAAGAAUAACCCCAAAUGCGACAAAGGUCCCCGAUCGGCCCCAACUGGGCUCCACUACUGAUCAACUAGAACGAAACAACACAAAUGAACAAGGUCUUCAACGAGCUCCUCUGGGUUGCGUCAUCUGCACGGUCUCAUCGGCACCUGCAAGCUGGUUUUGGAAGUAUCUGUGAGCCACAGGGACUCAGCAAUCUCGCACCCUCGCGAUCAAGACUAUUUAAGCUUAUGGGUAAGGUAAAGGUAUGAGGUGGAGCUGCAGCAAGCGACUAGCAUAUAUGGUGGCUAACAUACGCAAAUGAGAGCGAGAAGAGAAGGCAAAGCACGGUUGAUAAAAGUAUGAUCAAGAAGUGAUCCUAGACUACCUACGUCAAGCAUAACUCCAACAACCAUGUUCACUUCCCGGACUCCGCCGGAAAGAGACCAUCACGGUUACACACGCUGUUGAUUCAUUUUAAUUAAGGUCAAGUUCAGGUUUUCUACAACCGGACGUUAACAAAUUCCCAUCUGCCCAUAACCGCGGGCACGGCUUUCGAAAGUUCAAAUCCCUGCAGGGGUGUCCCAACUUAGCCCAUGACAAGCUCUCACGGUCAACGAAGGAAUAGACCUCCACCCGAGACAUUCCGAUCAGACUCGGUAUCCCAGUACAACAAGACAUUUCGAUAGGGUAAAACUAAACCAGCAACACCGCCCAAUGCGCCGACAUCCUGAUAGGAGCUGCACAUAUCUCGUUCUCAGGGCAACACCGGAUAAGCAAUCCGUACAACUAAAACCAGCCCUCAAGUUUCCCCGAGGUGGCGCUGCAAGGGGCUCUAGUUUGGACCAACGCUUAGACAAGCACUGGCCCGGGGGGGUUAAAAUAAAGAUGACCCUCGGGAUGCGCGACUCCCAAGGGAAAAAGGCUAGGUGGCAAAUGGUAAAACCAAUGUUGGGCAUUGCUGGCAAAGCUUUACUUAAGGCGAACUGUCAAGGGGUUCCCAUUAUAGCCCAACCGCGUAAGGGACGCAAAAUCCGGGAACAUAACACCGAUAUGACGGAAACUAGGGCGGCAAGAGUGGAACAAAACACCAGGCAUAAGGCCGAGCCUUCCACCCUUUACCAAGUAUAUAGAUGCAUUAAUUAAAUAAGAUAUAUCAUGAUAUCCCAACAAGUAAAAUAAAUGUUCCAACAAGGAACGGCCUCCAUGUUCCAACAAGGAACAAACUUCAAUCUUCACCUGCAACUAACAACGCUAUAAGAGGGGCUGAGCAAAGCGGUAACAUAGCCAAUCAACGGUUUGCUAGGACAAUGGUGGGUUAGGGGCUCAACAUGGCAAUUUGGGAGGCUGACAAGCAAGUGGUAGGCAUCGUAGCCAUGGCAUAGCAAAAGAGCGAGCAAACUAGCAUAGCAAAGAUAGUAGUGAUUUCGAGGGUAUGAUCAUCUUGCCUGAAAUCCCGCAAGGAAGAAGAACGAGUCCAUGAAGAAGACAAACAGACGUAGACGAACGGUUCCUCACAAACACGACGUUAUCGGAACCAACCCGAGGAAGCAAUCACCGGAAAAUAAGCACACAACAUAGUAAACAACCACGACAUCAACAUGUCAUGAUGCACAAACGAGUAUGAUGCAUGUCCGGUUUAAAGAGGCAUGGCAUGGCAAAAUGCACAAGCAAUCCUACAGAUUAAGUGGAGCUCAAUAUGCAUCGGGAUGCAUAUUGACGGAACACCACAUCAAUUAUUUAGUUCUCUCUCGGUUAGGUACUCAACAAUAUUAAAUGUUGUUAAGCAUGUCAAGAGGGUGAAGCAAAUGAAAACUACCCACCUAGUCAAGGUUAAAUGAGGCCAGGAACAACAAACAACAAAUCCGGUAAAUCCUCAUAUGCAUAUAUUAGGUUUGGUCCUGUUCUGCCCUAAACAUUAUUUUAGAGUUGUUAAACAUGCAAAGAUGAGGCCACCAUGUUAAACUAGGCGAAAUUCUACCCCAUUUACAUAUAAAGAUUAUUACAAACGGAGUUACGGUUAUUUAGUUAUGAAUUAAAUCAUUUUAGCAUGGCAUAGGGGCAAAUUUAAUCAAACAUCAUAUUAAGCAUUUUAAACAUGGGUGAAAAUGACAUAUUAUGAAACUAGAUGCAAAUCUAAGCAUUUUUCAUAUUAAGUUUAUUUUAAUACGAUGCAUCGUUUGUGAGUCACAAUAUGCAUGAAGAUGAAGGGCUUUUCUGUAAAACUGCAGCCUCCUGGAUAUUAGACAAAUUCGCAGGUCAGGAAAAAAAACGGCUAUGGGCCGAAACUGCAUGGCCCAACAGAACAGGAAAAAAAAGAGGAGGCGCUGGUGGUGGCCUCACCAUGGGCCUCGGCCCGGUACAGUGGAGGAGGAGGCAAGCCGGGCCUUGGGAAGCUGGGAGGAGGAGGCAGCAGGCCGGGGUGAGAUCUGGGCCUGGGAGCGCUGCGGGUCGGCCCACACAGCUGGAGCGCUGCGCUCUGCUCCUCUUGAACAGCAGCGCAGGGGAAGAAGAGGAUGCAGCGGCGGCCUUUUCGCGAUGCAGGGCUGCGGGGCGACGCCGCUGGCGAGCUGGGGACGCCGGGACAAGAAGCAGAGGAGCGGGCGCUGCUCCGGCGGAGGCGGCGACCCGGUGAGAACCGAGGUGAGGCAGGGGCGCGAGCGUCCUCCUUCUGCUCGAUGCAAAAGCAGAGGAACAAGGCGCGGCGGCGCAGAACCUUGGCGGACUGAGGCGAGCGACGCUGGGCGUCAGGAGGUGCGGGGAAGGCCGGGACGGUCCCGAUCUGGGAGGAACCGAGGCGGAUGAGCGGUUCCUGGUGGUGGCUUGAGCAUCGGGCGGCCAUGGAGCUCCAUGUGCUCCUGUGUUCCCUGCGAGAGAGAGGAAGCAGGGAGAUGAGAGGGAGAGAGAGAAAGGGAAGGGAAGGGAGAAGAGAGACGGCGCAGGGGAGGAAGGGAGCAGGGCACGGCGUGGCGGCGCUGCAGUCCAAGGCGGCGGCGUCCUGGUGGCUUCCUGCUGGUGGCUGUCGGCGGAGACGAAGCCUCGGGCAGGAGAUCGGGGGAUCCCGAUGAGGAUUGGGUUUGGAUCGGGCAAGAGAGAGGCUGGUGGUUGGUUCGGCGCUGAGAACAAUAGAAGUGGCGGCGGCGUGGGGAUGGGAUGGAUGGGACAGAUCUCCUCAAAUUUAGGGUUAGACUAUAUUUAUAGUAUAUGGGCGUUUGGCUAGGGGCUAAUCUGGAUCCUACGAUCGCAAACAGACGAUCGCGGAUAAAAUAGCUAGGGAGUCCAAAUGAGAAAACGGUGACGUUUUGUAGACGUUUGGGGAUGUUCCGGACACAGCGGUGGCGACAGCCCGGGUCGGGUCCGGGACAACUUUCGGGCGCGCGCGAGGAGGGCUGCGGGCUGACGAGAGAGGUUAGGCUGGGACUGGCGGUAGGUAGUGAUCUGUGUAGACGGUCUCGAGCUGAGAGAAGAGAAGAGAGAGGGCCCGACAUCUGUUUCCGGAGACCGAAAACGUCCGGCGUUAGACCGGCUAUAUUGCCGCUAUAUUUAUCCGUUGGGGCGUCAAGUGAACUCCGAUUGCGAUGAAACUUGACAGGCGGUCUGUCUACACUAUAAUAAGACCGCACACCAAAUUUCAACCCAAUCCGAGAACAUUUUCCGGCCACUUAUAAAAUAAUAUUUCGGACAUGCCGCGGGCGCGUGCAAGUGUGUCUGGGCUCAGAACGGACAACGGGGAGAACGAGGAGACCGGGACGGAUGCAAGUUUUGAAAAAUAUGAUGAUGCAAUGCACAUGAUGACAUGAUAUGCAAUGCAUGACACGCAAGCAAAUGACACAGCAACGACAACGAAUAACUGCACGACACCUGGCACAUCGGUCUCGGGGCGUUACAACACUCCACCACUACGAGAGGAUCUCGUCCCGAGAUCUAGAAUGGCACCGGAGGGAAAACGGAAGAGAAAAGAGAAGAGGUAAAACAAAUUGCUUCUUUGACAAACGAGUGAAACUAAAGAACCUUGCGAGGUUGAACAAAUUCGAGAAAAGAAUACAACGAAGGUGAACAAAGUCGAAAACGCUCCGUUAGAAAAGAGUAACGAGGAAGAACAAAUUCAGGCGGCACUCCGGUUGGAAAGAAAAAGAAUUGAAUAAGGUCUUGAUAAGAUAAGAAGAUUCUUGAUGAAAUCACAACACACUGCCACCGGAACUAUUGAAUGAAUGGAAAAAGGGGUAAGAAAUAUCUCGGACAACACUCCGGUUGAGAAAGGAGUCAAGAUUUGAUAAGAUGAGAGAGCUCAAAUGAAAACAUGACACUCCGGUUGAGAAAAGGAUGCAAGACUUGAUAAGGCGAAAAGAACUUGAACAAAGGGGCACAACACUCCAAUAAAAGUAUAGGCAUGGAAAGAUCAUGAUCUUUGACAAAACAAGAUGAUGGGUUGAAAAGAUGAACAUGACAAUGCCUCCGGAACAAAAGAAUAGAAGAUAGAUAAUUGAAAUAGGAGAAUGGAGAAGAAAAUGCCAACUUCUGCCACAAAAGAGCUUGAAAAGGCAUCUUUAGGACAAGGGUCGCACGGAAUUGUUGGAAAACCAACAACGAAAAUAAUAGGCUUGAUAUGGUCUUAUGGAAUGCAUCUCAAAUUAAGAGAUGAAAAACCCGCCACUCACGGGAAAAAAAUUGAAUUGAUAAGAACAAAGAGACGAGAAAGCUAUAUUACCGGGAGGAUAUAUGAAGAACUUGGAUCAUUAUAAGCACCAUAGAUAGCAACCAUCCUUAGGAAAGGCUUUAGGUGAAGCAUAAGCCAAGAUAAUACCAACGAAUAGGUUGAUGGAUUUAAAAUAUCCCCAUCUUGACAACAUGUGAAUCAUGACAAUAUGAACUCAAAUUAUCAAGAAUGGCAUAAUACCGCCUCCAAUAAUAUGGUAGAAAGAAUUGCACUCCGGAUAGCAAGAUCAAGAAAAACUUGAGCUCCUUAGAAAAGAAUCUCAAUGAACACUUCGAGAAGGAAUUAAAUCCUUGAAGAACCAUCAUGUAGAGCCUCCAUGAAGAACUCCGGUAAUAAAAGAAUGAUCCAAAAUAAUUGAAUGAUGAAUAGAAUAAAAUUGAAGCCUCGCAAUGAUUUAGAUAGAGAUCAUCGUGAUAAUAUAAUUGAAAGAGGUUGGACUCCGGGAAAAAGAGAAGAUGAAAACAAAUGAAACCGAGAGUUUGAAGGGCCUCCGGAAUAAAGAAUUAAUCACUUGGAUGCACAAGAAUAAGAGUUACAUUAUGCUUAUCCUUCACCAAUUUAAAUUGAUGACAAUCAACGGAUCUGGCAUAUUACUUAUUCUCGUAGAAAGAUUAAGAGAGAUAUAACACAAACUUGAGGAAGGUAUUGAACGAACCACUGGAAGGGUUGAAACAACGAAUAAAAUUGAUAAGGAAGAGAAAUCUGGAAGAACCACCGUAAGAAUUGAAAAAGAACGAAUAAAAGAUAACGAAUCACCGGGAAGAAUUAGCAAAUGAAAGAAGGAGCUUGAGAGAAUUUAGAUACAUGAGAACGAAGAGAUCACGGGUUGAUUAAAGAUCACUUGAGAGAAACACCGGUAAAAUAGGAGAAUGAUCACUGAAGGCUGAGAAUGAAUAAACCUGACUUGAUGGACUCCGGAUAACAAACUGAGAAGACUCUUAAAUUUCUCCGGAAGGUUGAAAAGAAUUCUUACAAUCGAAAAAAAUAAUUACGAGAGGAUGGUAUCGAGCUUGAACCAUGAAUCUUGAAGAGAAUGGAGCAAGAUUAAAGAGAAACUCUUCUUUGGUCUUCAAAAUCCGAGAAUGAAGACGAGAAACACCACCAUGAAUUAUUUAGACACUCCGGAAGAAUCAAAAUGAAGAGGUUGAGCCAACGAUGAAAAGAUUUUGAAAUAUCUUGGAUAAAAGCAUCUGACUGAUGAUAAAUCAUUCUUAUGUCAAACUUCGAAAAGAAUUUGAGAAUACCUCCGGGAAAUAAGAAGAGUCAGGUAAGAUCCUGGAAAAGACCUGUGGGUUAGGGCCCACUCAAAAGAAACACCGUUGAAAUGAUUUAGAGGAGAGGUUGCACCGGUUGAAUUAAGUGACUUGAAUGAGAUACCAAUCUCGAAAGAAUUUGAACGAAUGUAGAGUGGAAACACGAAUCUUCGAGAUAUCUUGAGCACUCCGGAAUAAAUGAAUAGCGAGAAGUGAACGAUUAAGAAUUACACCGGCAUGAGAAAACAUUGAAAUACGGAAAAGAGUAUGAUCAACACCGAAAGCUUGAAUUGGCAACACCGGAGAAGAAAAAGAAUGAAGAAUGAUGAACUAGAAACUCCGUUAGAAUCUUUAUGAGAAACACCAGAUAAGAACAUUGAAAGGAAAGAAAAAAAAGACUUCACAUCAAUAAAAUGAUACUUGAUUAAGAUAUAUGAGUCCUCGGAGAAAAGCAAGGGAGGGAGGGCGGGAAAACAAAGGCAACUUGGGACGAAUGAACCAAACACCGUUGAGAAGAAGUGAUAAUUGAUCUUGCGGUAGUUGAAAUGAUCGGAUCCACUUGAAGAGAAACACGCCGGUGAGAAGAAUUGACAAAACAAUCUUGAUGAUCAAGAAGGAUUGGUAUCCACAUCAGAGUAUGAGAACACCAUUUGGAAAAGGUAUGGAAUCAACAUUUGACUUUGAAGCAACUCGAAUACAUCAACUCAGCACAAAAACAAAGGGUUGGCUUGCAGAAUAAGCCGGAACAAACAUAUGAUAGAGAUUUCGUCCGAAGUUUUUGUGGUGGGACCUACACGGGCUCGAUCGUACAGCACCAUCAUGUACAAGGCAGUGCACAUGACAUACGAAGCGUCCCCGAGUCAGCAUAGCCAAGGACUCUUUAAGACACAACGAGACCACUGUAAAACCGACCGUGAAUAGGCGAACCACUAGACGUCGAACCCCAAUUUCAUAUCACACAUCUGUUGGAAGGAUAUCCUAAGAGCUACUUGAAUUCCCACCUAUGAAACUCCCGAAAACUUUCCGGUUAUGCAAUCAGGUGUUGAGGAUACAGGGGAAGCAUAAUAUCUCACCCAAACUAGCAAAUCCUACAUCCAGCUGUAUCCAUCCUUCAACACAUAACCAAGAAACCUUCGGAAACCAUCUAUCUCAACCUUCGAAAAGCAUCCGUUAUACAAGUUAUGGCGAUACUCCCGAACUCCCGCCCCAGUACUGGGUGGCGUCGAGGUUAUCUCACCAACGAACUGCAUAAAGGAGAUUUUCGAUGUCGCGCACAUAUCUCAAGUAUACCAGAAUUGCAACGAUAAAAUUAUGAUGACAACACCUCAGAGCUCAACUCCCCGGGACACUUCCACUAAACCCCUGACAGGAGGCACCAAGACAGUAUUCCCAUCAUAAGCCAUCGGAACAAAACCAAGAUACUCGCGUGAUCCUAAAAAUUUUUAGUGAAAUUUGAGAAGAGAAGAGUCAAAACUCUACGUCAGGAUGCCUUACCAGAGCGAUGAGGAGACUGGGAAGUAAAAAGAAUUCCUAAGCUCUCCGAUAUAUAAUUCCUAAGGACUCAAAACAUUUUUCUAGACAUAACUCGGCUGCUAAAAACGAUCAAGCAAUGGGGCUCCUAAGGUCGGGGAAGGCUCUGAUACCAACUUGUAACACCCUCGAUGCGACUAUAUCUCCCACGUGUCGAGGCACGACUUAGAGGCAUAAUCGCAUUGAAGGCAUAUGUCGCAAGUGAGGUAAUCUUCACACAACCCAUAUAAUAUAAUAGGGGAAAAAGGUACAUAGUUGGCUUACAAUCGCCACUUCACACAAUUACAUGAAUAAACAUUACAUCAUACAAUUACACUCAAGGUCCAACUACGGAACCAAAAUAAAAGAAUAACCCCAAAUGCGACAAAGGUCCCCGAUCGGCCCCAACUGUGCUCCACUACUGAUCAACUAGAACGAAACAACACAAAUGAACAAGGUCUUCAACGAGCUCCUCCUGAGCUGGGUUGCGUCAUCUGCACGGUCUCAUCGGCACCUGCAAGCUGGUUUUGGAAGUAUC
rnacentral:lncRNA from 1 species